CACAGUUCAGGAGACUGAAAGCCCAAGAUAAAGGUGUUGGCAGGUUUGGUUUCUUCUGAAGACUCUCCAGCUUGCUGACGGCUGCUGUGUCCUCACGUGGUUCUUCCACUGUGCAUGCAUGACUCAUAUCUCUAAGUGUGUCCUCGUUGUAUAAGGACACCAGUCGGGUUGAUUAAGACCCACCCUAAUAGCCUCAUUUUAAUUUAAUCACCUCUUUGAAGGCCCUAUCUCUAAAGAUAGUCACAUUCUGAGGAACUAAACACAUACAUGUGUUUAGGCUUCAACAGAUGAAUUUGAGUGGGUGAGUGGGGAGGAGCACACUUCAGCUCUAAACAAUAUCUAAGUUCAUUUCUGACUUCCAAGAGUUCUUCUUAAGGAGAGAAGGGAAAAUUCAGACCCUACUGAAGCCUGCUCUCUGGAAGAGGAAAAAAAAUCUCAACCGAAAUAAAUGAGUGGGCAAUUCUGUCAGCAUACUUCCCCACAUUAAUUCCUACCACCAGAGGGAUCUCUUGUCAUCUGUCUGCAAAUGCAGGUUUAGCCAUAAACUGUGCUCUUUGGCUCCUGGUUGAAUGUAGAGAGGAUUAAAUUCAUUAUAAUAUUAAAUAGAUCAGGUGGAAUUAGUUUUCAGCAGAGAGCAGCUGCUGGCUCCAGCAGUGUUGUGACAGGCUCCGCCAAUUAUACAAUGCAAAUAUAAUCAUCUGACUUCCACCAUUUCCAGGCCCCGACAAGCCCUGCAAAUCUGUUGGGCAAUUUCUUCCGACCUGGCUCCAUACAUGUUAGCUAGAUAGCGGCUAUCUCAGAGGCCAAUGCACAUCUUUGACAAUCAUUCAAGACUAAAGCUAAAAUAAGAGAAAUUUGGACCUAAAGUGAUCAAGGGAGAAAAAUCCAGGCACACUUAUUCAUUUUACCCUUAUUAAUGCAGCUGAUAUUGAUUUAACUACUAGUGACGCAGCCUGACUUUUGCUUAGAGCAGCAGAUUGAAGGUGGUAUACAGGUUCUAUAGCACCUAGUCUAUUAUUAAGGAAGCUUAACACUGCUGAGUUUGUGCAUGUAUGAUUUAUAACAAUAUAUUAGCUUGAAAGACUACUAUGUAUUUUUACAUGGCAGAAAGUACUAAGAAGUUGCCUUUGGUUUUGUUGGAUUAGAUAGAUCAAGGUUGUGUUGAAAUUAUUUAAUAGAGAGCUAGAAUAAAGUCAGUUGAUCAAAGUGUACGCUCACACAGUUUUAGAACAAAUUUAGGCAAUAUCCAUACAGAUGUUAAUGAGCAGCUGAUAAGUCCUUAAUUUGGAGGAAUAAGUGUAGAUGCUCAACCUGCUUACAAAUUUGAUCAUUUAAGGAUAUUAAGUACAAGACAGAAAGAAGACUGUAUUCACUGAGAUUACUCAUAAAUGCAGUUAAAAUGCUUGUUAUCCCAAUUAUUUGUCAGUGAAGACCUAGCCUGAAGAGAUUAUGUACUCUGUUAACAAUAGAGAAGGCCUCAGUUUCCACUAAUCAUAAAAUCAGACCAAAGUCAUGCCACCUACAACCGCUAUUCUUAUGUAAAAAUGAAUUUGGUUAUAUUUUUUUCUGUGCCUGAUGUGUUUCCCUGGAGUUAGAUUGCUUCCGGGAAGGUUAUAUCCUACUUUGAUGUUGAUAUCUCGGGAGAAAAUAGAAGAAUAAAAAUAAAGACAGAUGGUUGUGAAAAGAAGAGCAUCACCUCCCUUUACAACUGUCUUCUCUGAUUCAAAGUUUGUUUGUAAGCAGUGUCAGAAAUGGAGGACUGCAAUUUCUAGAUUCCCUCAUACUGGAAAGAAUCCUCUACUCUGCAACCACCUGACAAUCAUUCUGAUGAACAUUAACAAGCUACCUUGUGCUAAUAUCUUAAUGAGAGGAGUGUAGUAGUUCAAUAUGCACAUCCUUCCAAGUAAAAUAUGACCAUCUUGUACAUGGGCUUUUGAGGACACCGUAUUACCUUUCCCUGUACCUCACUAUAAACACAUAUACUCACAACAUGGUUGUCUUAAGCAGAGAACAAUUGAAAACAGGCAAUUCCAGGAGUGAAUAACUCACAAGCUAAUUAUCUGGGCUAAGGGUUCUUAGGGAUACCCAUGGAGAUGAAUAUUUAUUUCUGUUUGUUCCUGUACUCACACCCUCUAUAUUGAUAGAUGUUUGAUCGUGAAUAGUGUUGGUUGCAUUCUAAAGCUCUUUCAUAAACAUGUUUUUUUGAAAUUUGAAAAAAUUGUUUUACACAAAACUUUUUCUGGCCAGUUAAGAGCUGUUUUUAACCUUAAAAAUGCAAAAUUCAAAAUUUAUUCCUGUCUUUUUUUCUGGAGCAGUCAUUUGGCCCCACUUUGUUUUUGCCCUGCUAUCUCCAAAAUUUGUAAUUACAUCACAAUUUUUAGAAGUACUUACAAGAAAAUUCCUUCUUAUUCAUUCUUUCAUGUAUGCUAGGAAAUAGUUAUUGAGCAUCUCCUGUAGGCUGGUACUGAGGGAGAAACUAGAGAUAGAGAUGAACGUGACUUGAUUCAGUUUUGAGGGGAGAUCCAUGCAAACCUAAGAUUAUGGUAGUAUAUGACACGUAUUUUGAUAUAGUGAUUUGCAUGUUCUGGGAACCCAGAGGAGGUCACAUAUCUCAGCGUGGGGAAGAGUGUGGGUCUUUUUGUACACAAGUGUGUCUGUUGCUUAGAGAAAGGUCAUGUUUGCAAACGUGUUCACUUUUCUUGGAGUAAUAUCCAAAAAGUUAACAUGUUUUUAUUUCCUUUGUCAUUGUCACCACCUGCGACCACUAGUUGAGGAUUUUGUACCCAUUCCUUCCAAAUAUUCCUAUUCACUAUACCUGGCUUCAGACACCUCUCCUCAGCACCAUUCGUUCUUCCUGGCCUUUUGAAGGAUUUUACUGUUAAAUCUAUCAGGAAACAGACGCAAUCCUGGAAGUGAUAAUUGAACUGUCUCACAAAACCAGCGAAAGUUGUGAAAGGUGAGUGAAGGUAAAGGGGGUCCAGGAAGCUGGCUGUCUGAAGUUGAGGGAAGAUAAGAGGGACAUAGAGGUGCAGAGCUGUGAGAUAGAGAGUGUUUCCUCUGAACUGUGUGACUGUAGUGUGCAGAGAGUGCACCUCUUCCACGAGAAGGUUGCCUUUGUGAUGUUUUCAGUUUACUGACACAUUCUUAAAUAUAUGUGUCUUGUACUUGACGUUGUUCUGUUGAACUGCUGGAAGUAAAUUUCAAACUUGUUGCUUUUUCCUCUCAGCUAUCGAUUACAGUAAAUCAGGCAAGCAAAGAAUACUUCCUUCUAUAUGAUCCCUCCCGUCCCCCUGCUGCUUUUUCUUUCAAUCUCAAUAUUAACUUUAAACUUUCAAUCUCUCUUAAAACAUUCAGAGGAAGAUAAUUGGGAACCAGAAGUGAGUAGCAUAUUUUUACUAGUGUAUGCUGAAGAUAAAUUUGACCUGCAUUUCAAUGAAAGACCUGAGCUUUAAGUGUCAUUGGGGACUUCAUGGAGAGAAUUAGAAAAACGAACAAGAAAUGAAUGAAGAAAAGGUUAUGGCAUAAAAAGGAACAAAGAGAUAACCAAGAGGCUAGAGGUAGCUUGUCCACCAUAGAAUAUAAUCCAGCUUGGUGUUUAUGUCCCUGCCCUGUUCUCAUCUUUUACCCUAGCUUUGUUACCACAACGCUCACAAAGGACUGGUCUUAGAGUGAAGCUUAAGGAGGAAGUGGUGUGAUAGCAAUGAGGCAGGGAUCUUAUUCCAUCAUUCAACUUGUAUUUGUUUGGGGCCUACUCUGGGGAGGCAGAGGUAGGAAAAAAAAUUAUCCACCUUUAAAUGACUUUAUUAUAUUUUCAUCUUUAGUGAAAUAGAAGUCAUUGCAAACUAAGUCUCCAAGGCAACAGUAUAUCCAAGGAACAGAAAAGUGGAGGCAUUGGAGUACAUCAGACUCAUAUUUAAACCUCAUCUAUGUCUUUGGAAGAUUACUUCACAAGUGAGUGUCAGACCUUGACAAUGCAAUGUUAAUAGUAAUACCUGCUUCAUAAGUUCAGUGUGAGAAUUAGCCACUUACUGAUAGAAACAAGCAUUAAGAAAUGGUCUAAAUUAUAUUGUGUGACAUAAUAAUGUGACAUCAUAGGACACUAUGACAUGACAGGACAGAGUCUCUUGAGGUGUGAUGCCAUGAUGUAGGUACACACAUAUGUAUAGCUUUUGUCUUUGGCAGAAUCUCAGUUUCAAUCUACAGUUUCCUCCUCCUGAAUAUACUGUUUUGCAAUCCAUGUAGCAUCUUCAUUCUUACUCAACAGACAUAAGACCAUUCAGGGACAAUGCUGGGUUACAUGAGUAAAUAUGAACACUCUGUGUUUAUAUACGUGUGGGCAUGUCGCAAUAUCAAACCUUAAGAAACUUUGUCCUAUUAUGAUAGAAAGAAAUGCUAUGGUGCUUUGUUGUGAGAAUGUAAGAUUUCACGACUGUUUCACCAAAAUAUUUCCUCUUCAGUGGGUUUAUCAUGAGGAACCCCUAGAUACUACAUGGUUGGUCAGUUUGGGCACAUUUUAUUAUUUCCUUAAUGACGAGAUGCUAUCAGAAUUGACUAAAUCAGUAAUAUAAAACAAAAAAAAUUGCACCUUGCAAAAAUCAUAAAAAGGCCUCUUGAGGCAGAGAAAAGAAAUGAAAUUCAGAGCUAUGAAUUUCCAGGGAGAAUAUGACAGUGAAAACCAGAGCUGCAAUUGUAUUGUUUUUCCCCCUUUUCCUUGACCCCCAGAGAAUACACAAAUAAAAUCAAUUAAUGGGCCUUGAAGAAGAAUCACUUUAAACUGUUCAAUUAAACCCCGCAAUGCAGAGAACAGAAAGUAGAAAAAAAAAAAAAAAACAAUAAAUACGUCUUAAAAAAUGGACUUGUCAGAGGCGCCAGGGUCCCGACAUGCACCAUUACUGACGGAUCGAAUAGCACUUCCAUUAACACCAUAAUCUUAUAGACUCCACAGCCUGUAAAAAAGGGAUUUACUUUAAUCAGGUUUGGUUAGGACUGAAUUUGAAAAGCGCUACAAGUGAAAUAAAACAUGACCUCCACCUCUUUGAUUUUUUUCCAGCAUUGGUUCCCAAGUAUGUAAUUUGCUGUCCACUGAUGGGUCAUUUUUAAUGACUGUGAUCUGCUGGUACCUUUCUCUCCUUUAGUGGUGGAAAUCAUCAAUACAGACCUGCUAUGUUCCUUCCUAUUUUUCUUCAUCUAAUCAUUUCAUUUAACAAUCAUCAUUAUCUUAGAUAGUUGACCCAGACCUUCUUUUAGGCAUGUACCUACUCUAGGCCCUUACAAGGUUUCCAAAGAAUUUUUGUAAGUUUUACUUAAGAAUGCUGAGGCAGGAGGCUCACUUGAACCCAGGAGUUCAAGGCUGUAGUGCACACACUAUGAUUGCGAAUUGCUCCUGUGAAUAGCCACUGCAUUCCAGCUAGGCAACAUAGCCAGAACCCCUCUCUUUGUAAUAAAA